rnacentral:lncRNA from 1 species
AAGAACUCUUGAAUGGAAAAGAGAUGUAACUCCAGUUCCUUCGGAAUCGGUAGUCAAUCCAUUUCCGAUAGGGGUAGUUGACAAUUGAAUCCGAUUUUGACCAUUACUUUCAUAUCCGUAAUAGUGCCAAAAGAAGGCCCGGCUCCAAGUUGUUCAAGAAUAGUGGCGUUGAGUUUCUCAACCCUUUGACUUAGGAUUAGUCAGUUCUAUUUCUCGAUAGGGCGGGGAAGGGAUAUAACUCAG